AACGCCACACCCAGCCACUCUGGCAGGCCCAACACUGGGAAGUCACAGGAGGUGUGAUCCAGUGAGACAGCACAUUGCUAUCUGGCAGCCCCCAAAAGAUAUGUUUCUGAGGUCUCGACAUUUUUGUAACAAUCCUAUUUAUGCAAAUCUAGCUCUCCCGAUGCCAGGUCCGUGAAAAGCAGGUCACACCCAGACAGACAGAGCAGAAAGCCCCACCACUGCGGACAGAGCAGUUCCGUCUGGUGGUGAGCAGCAUUGGAGGUUGGAUAGACAGGGAAGGAAAGGCAAGUU